rnacentral:tRNA from 1 species
GGGCGCAUAGCUCAGCGGGAGAGCACCUGCCUUACAAGCAGGGGGUCGCAGGUUCGAACCCUGCUGCGCCCACC